ensembl:lncRNA
CCUGAUGCUGCGCAUCUGCCAUGAAAACAAGCUUGACAGAAACAUGUCUGUAUGCCUUUACACUGCUGAUGGUAUGCCUUUGACCGAUGACCCUUUUUUCAACACAUGGUCUUUGAAUUGCAGACAUAUUGCAAGUGGGAGCGAACUAUAUGCCAUAUUUACACCAAGGGAAAAUUUAACAGUGUUACCACCAACACAAAGACAGGCCAACAUCAGAAAUGAAGGACCAAUUGUCAUCCGCUGUCACAUAAUGUUACAGGGGGACUUUGAAAUCAAAGUUGACCUCGAAAGUGAUACACUGAGAGAUGUGACGCUACGGCUUUCUCUCGAAAGCAAUAUACCAGCACCAGUUCUUCACAUCAGAGGCAAAGAGUAUAAUUAUGUUGACAGACUAAGUGAACUUGGAAUCACUGAGGAUUCAGUUCUACAGUUCUUUCUGUCAUCGUUUGAUAAUGAGAAACCAAGUCCAAGUCUUUUCUUCCAAAAAGAUGUCUCACCCUCAGUGAAGCAAACACAGAAAGGCCUAAGUGUUUUUCUGUCAACGCUGUAUGCCAUUGUAUGUUAAAAUACUAUAAUUUCUAUUUCGUCAAGGUCUGAUGCUUGCUUAUCUAGAACCUGGGUCGCCUAGAAUGGGUGAAUCCAAAUUGCAAACGAUUCACAAAUGCAGCUUCAUCCACAAAGGUUUAUUCAAAAAGUUCCAAAAUCCCAACAACACAGCAGUUCAAAAACACAGUCCAACAGAAAAAAGUCUAAAUCAGUCCAUAAACCAUGUUGGUAUAUGUGGUUCACAGGGACUCUCCAUAGGAGUAAUGGUUUUUAUACUGUACAAACUGUAUUUUCUAUCCCCUAACCCUACCCCUCACACAAAACAUUCUGCUAUUUUAGAUUUUCAAAAAAACUUUAUUCUGUAUGAUUUAUAAGCUUGUUUCCUCAUGGGAACCAAAAAAUAAAAAAUGUCCCCACAAGGUCCAAAUUUACUGGUAUUACUAUACUUGUGGGGACAUUUGUUCCUCAUAACAUAUAGGGAAUACCAGGUACACACAUCACACACACACACACACACACAAAUUAAAUGCAAAAGACAAAGAGCAUAUGACACCAGAAUGGUGAGGCACAGGUUACAAUAGUAUUCAAACAAGAAAAAUCAUUUAAAUUGUCUCCAUUUGGUGGUUAACAUGGUGAAUAGUCCCAGAUACUGACAUGUUCUCUUGCAGGAUAUUUUUCAAGAUUCACUUUCAAGAUUCUCUGGUAUUUAAACUGUACACAGGACUCCUGUGUAUCUAUCAGGAAUCCUGGGGCUGUCACUUCUCUGAUAGUGAUGGAAAGAUUUUGAGCAAGAUAAAAAAUGGUUUGUAAGAGGAAUGAGAGGAGCAAGAAGUGGUCUGUAACAUCAAUGUAUAUUAACUGCUAGAACUCAAACACCAUUCUUUGAAUCUUAUCAAAGAGUUUCAUUUCAGUUAACACUGGAAUAUUAGUCGACACAAUCAAAGAAGUGAGUCUAAUUUAGAGUUCUUUAAUUCUGCUCCUUAGGAUCCAUUGUCCUAUAGUUUAGCUCCAGCCCUAAAAAAAAUAAACAACUGUGGCCAAUCAUGUUAGUGUUAUUUAUAUAGUCAAAGCUACGCGAUAGCUUUUGCUUGUUUGAAAUGCUUGUUUCAUUAUUUAUUUGGUUAGUUAUUGGGUGAGUUUUGAUGUUGUUAGAGACAUUCACACUGAUAGGAUGAUCAACUGUAUCUAUGGGCAUGCCGGUUCUCAAACCAUGAGAACAGUAGAGCCAACAAUGCAAUAGUAUCCAUCUGUUUCUUGACAGCAGUUUUGAUGCCAGCAGCUCCAAACUUCAGAUAAAACAUAUUGCUUUAUUUUUCAGUGCAACUAAGAUUUUCUGUAUUUUGUCCUAUUCUUAGAAACAUAGACACUGUGGAGAAGAAUUUAUGAAAGUGGUUGCAUAUAUUCGGAGACUAAGUGGAUGCAAUGCUUUGGCUCAAAGUUUAUUCCAACUGAUCUGUGGGAACUUGCAUGUAACUAGAAACCAAAAGGUAGGCUACAUUUUGUAUAAUAAAAAGCGUGUAAAUUAUUUAAAGAAUGGGGUCGAAUC